AAAUCUAGAGCUAAUACAUGUAUGUCACUCUGGUUUAAGCAAUUAGGCCAGAGGCAUUUAUUAGAAAAAACCAACGACCUGUGUGCUUCGGUGCAUAGGUGUAAAGGUGAGUCUGGAUAACUGUGCAGAUCGAAAAGCUUUGGGCUAUCGACGUUUCAAUCAAAUUUCUGCCCUAUCAACUUGUUGGUAAGGUAGUGGCUUACCAAGGUUGCAACGGGUAACGGGGAAUCAGGGUUCGAUUCCGGAGAGGGAGCCUGAGAAACGGCUACCACAUCCAAGGAAGGCAGCAGGCGCGCAAAUUACCCAAUCCUAACACAGGGAGGUAGUAACGAGAAAUACCAGGAUGAGGCCCAUUGGGUCUCAACUGGAAUGAGCGUAAUUUAAAACCUUCGUCGAAAGCAACCGGAGGGCAAGUCUGGUGCCAGCAGCCGCGGUAAUUCCAGCUCCGGUAGUCUACUCUAAAAUUGCUGCAGUUAAAACGCUCGUAGUUGGAUUAUGGGGUGAUUUGGUGUCGCAAGUAUUUGAUGUUAGUUUACUAACAUCUCUUGUGUAUCCAAGUUGCCACUUAUUCGUGGAAGCAUUGUGCUGCUUUAUUGCUAGUGCAAUGUGUUCCGCGUAGUGUGCCUUGAGUAAAAUAGAGUGCUCAAAGCAGGCCUGUGCCUGAAUAUUGAUAGCAUGGAACGAAUAGCCGUGAUGUGUAUUGUGAACAGCACGGUGCAAGCCGUGUAUGUUUGCAUUGCAUAGCACUGACCACGAUACGGUUGUUGGUUACCGUAAUCGGGUAAUGAUUAAGAGGGACAUUUGGGGGCAUUGGUAUUUGG
rnacentral:rRNA from 1 species